rnacentral:rRNA from 1 species
GACGAACGCUGGCGGCGUGCUUAACACAUGCAAGUCGAACGGAAAGGCCCUGUUCUUGUGGGUUUCUCGAUUGGCGAACGGGUGAGUAACACGCGUGUAACCUGCCCUUGACUUUGGGAUAACUUUAGGAAACUGGGGCUAAUAUCCGAUAGAAUCUCUUGCUGCAUGGUGGGGGUUGGAAAGUGUCGGCUGUUGGGGAUGGACUCGAGGCUUAUCGGCUUGUUAGUGUGGUAGUGGCUUACGAAGGCUUUGACGGGUAGCCGGCCUGAGAGGGUGACCGGCGACAUUGGGCCUGCGAGACGGACCAGAAUCGUACGGGCGGCAGUAGUCGGAAAUCUUGCACAGUGGGCGGAAGUCUGAUGCAGCAACGCCGGGUGCGGGAUGACGGCCUUCGGGUUGUAAACAGCUUUCGAAUGUGCCGAGGAGUGCGUGACGGUAAUGGGUAAAGAAGCACCGGCUAACUACGUG